GACGAACGCUGGCGGCGUGCUUAACACAUGCAAGUCGAACGGAAAGGCCCUGCUUGCAGGGUACUCGAGUGGCGAACGGGUGAGUAACACGUGGGUGAUCUGCCCUUCACUUCGGGAUAAGCUUUGGAAACUGGGUCUAAUACCGGAUAGGACCGCACUUUAGUGUGUGUGGUGGAAAGUUUUUUCGGUGUAGGAUGAGCUCGCGGCCUAUCAGCUUGUUGGUGGGGUAAUGGCCUACCAAGGCGGCGACGGGUAGCCGGCCUGAGAGGGUGUACGGCCACAUUGGGACUGAGAUACGGCCCAGACUCCUACGGGAGGCAGCAGUGGGGAAUAUUGCACAAUGGGCGCAAGCCUGAUGCAGAGACGCCGCGUGGGGGAUGAAGGCCUUCGGGUUGUAAACUCCUUUCGCUAGGGACGAAGCUUUUUGUGACGGUACCUAGAUAAGAAGCACCGGCUAACUACGUG
rnacentral:rRNA from 1 species